rnacentral:rRNA from 1 species
GACGAACGCUGGCGGCGUGCUUAACACAUGCAAGUCGAACGGAAAGGCCCUGCUUUUGUGGGGUGCUCGAGUUGAGAACGGGUGAGUAACACGUGAGUAACCUGCCCUUGACUUUGGGAUAACCUCAGGAAACUGGGUCUAAUACCGGAUAGGAGCUCCUGCUGCAUGGUGGGGGUUGGAAAGUUUCGGCGGUUGGGGAUGGACUGGCGGCUUAUCAGCUUGUUGGUGGGGUAGUGGCUUACCAAGGCUUUGACGGGUAGCCGGCCUGAGAGGGUGACCGGACACAUUGGGACGGAGAUGCGGCCCGGACUACAAUGGGACGGAAGGGUGGGGAAGAGUACAUAAUGGGCUGAAGGAUGACGUAAUCAAGCCGCGUGCGGGGAGACGGGCUUCCGGUUGUAAACCGAUUUCCCCUUUGACGGAACGUUAAUGACAGUAAUGGGUAAAUAAGCUCCGGCUAACUACGUG